rnacentral:tRNA from 5 species
GCCAAGGUAGCUCAGCCUGGGAGAGCACUCCGCUGAAGACGGAGCCGUCGUGGAUUCAAGUCCCACCCUUGGCA